ACAUCCUACCCCCCGGAAAGUCAUUUCACAGCAAUAGCCAUUAAUGAAGAGGGACAAGAUGUACCUAGGAUGAACCCACUUGUGAUUCUGCAGAAUGAUCAUUCUUCCAGAUCUUCACGGAGAUUUCAGGAUAAGAGAUCCCACCUAAACAAACAUUAGGAAGAGCUUUCUGAUAGUAUUAAUGCUGUCUGACAGUUGAAUAUGCUGCCUUGGAUUGUGGUGUAGUCUCCUUCUUUGGCUGCCAUUCCCUCCAUCCUCUCUGGGAUCUUCAUAUUUCUCCCACAUUGUGUCACUUUGCUUGGAUAACAGAAGGUCAACAGCCUGCAAACCUAGCAAAAGGAAAGAAUGCAUCCCUUGAGUCCCAUAGUUGGUGUAAACUGCUACAGGAGACUUCCAUGAAAUGGCCUCGCAGAAGAAUGAUGUGGCAACCAAGGUGGGAGGACAGUCACUUUGGAUCAUUUAUCAAAGCAUUAAUCAAGUGUGCAAGGGUUUCCUAUGGUGAGCCAGCUUCUGUCAGCUUGAAAUAUUGGAGUGAGGAAGAUUUUAAAGGCCUCAUGAAAUUGGUGCCAGACAAAAGUAGAUGUGUGUGAGAGAGAGAGAGAGAAAGAGAGAGAGAGGGCUGGCACUCUGGAAAACCACUUAGGUCAGUGUACAUGUGACCUCAGCAGAUAUUUAAGCCCUGGUUUUCCACUUAGGUCAGUGUAGGGUUAGAUCAGACCAAUGACAACCAAACUCCACACAAUUGAUCUGGAGUAAUGCAUGGCAAGGGCAACUUAAUGUGUUCUUGUCCCACAUUCGUGAAAACCAAGAGAUAAUCUCAAGUCUGGUCCAGAAUUUAGUCUAUCUCCCAACUUUAGGCUUACAGGAAUUGGCCUCAACUGACCCCACUGCCAAACUUUAAUCUAGCCAUCAAAACUGUUAAAAAAUACUGGAACUUGAUAAGAGACAUCCCGGGAUGUGAUAGACCCCCGUUGGUAGCAUAUAAAAGAACAAGGAAUAUUGGGGAUAUAUUGGUACAUUCAAACAUAACCAAUGAGCUGUAAAAUCUAAUCUGGUGGGCAAUUAUCGCUGCCACCAUUGUUCAGUAUGCAGCCAAUUGAUAGAGACCAAAAUCUUGACACACCAACAUCUAUCAUUCGAAUUUAAAUUUCCCCAUUUUGCCACCUGUACAACCAAAGGGGUUAUUUACAUGAUAAUUUGUGAUUGUAAUUUAUCAUAUGUGGGGCAGACUCGUCGAGAAGUUAAGAGCAGAAUUAUAGAGCACAGGAGUAAAAUACGAAAUCAUGCCAGAGAAUCCAUACUGUAUAAACAUUUCUAUGAUCUACAGCAUAGCCCUGAAUCAUUCAAAUACCACAUACUAGAAGUAGUAUCACAAUCCAAACAUAUGGACUUCAAUAAGAAACUUUUGCAAAGGGAAACAUGUUGGAUUUUCAGAUUAUGGACAGAACAUCCACAGGGCUUAAAUGAACAAAAUUCAUACAGUUGUUAUAUAUAGAACCUUAUCAUACUAUAAAUCCCUAAAUGAAUACACCCAAUACAAUAAGGGUACUCAUAGCACCAUCUGGUGGUAAUUUCUUCUAUAUCUUUAAAUAAACCUCUCUGUUUCUUUAACAUCUUCCCCUUUAAAUUGAGGCAACCCCUUGAUGCUUUUCAUACUCGCAAUUAGAACCCAACACACAGCAGAGUAUCCCGUGAGUAUAUACUGUUUUGGAAAUAUACAAUUUCUUUAAAAACAAUUUUUUGGAUGUAUGUAACUCUUUAAUGCUUAUGGCCACUCCUUGUUCCUUUGACCUAGAUUCCACUGUAAAAAACAUGUAUUUCUAAGGAGAACAAGUGUUAAAUUUGGAACUGUACCACCAGAGGAAGGCCUGAUGCAGGGCCGAAACCGGUCGUGGCGGACUUACUCUUCUUGGCAUUAGAAUACACAACGCCGAUUGCAUUUCAAUGUAUAUUGGACAAUCCAUUUGAGGCUGUUUGUUAUCACUGUGAAUUUAACGCCGACUGCAUGUCAAUGUAUAUUGGACAAUCCAUUUGAUGGUGUUUGUUAUUACUGUGAGUAGACAUAUUGUUUACUGAACUGGUUUAUUUUCAAUUGUAUAUAUAGGAGGUCAUUUGUGUUUGAGUUGACUCGGGAACCCAUUUAGAGUGUAGAGUCUCUCUGUGACCCAUACCCAGUGUGUGGCAUACCAGAUUGAUUCAGAAUAUUGGUUAAUGUAGAUCUGCCCUGGUCACGGAAGUCCACUAGGUAAGUAUUGCUAAGGGAAACUUGUCUGAAAAAUGUUGCCAAAAGAACUCUAUAAGUGAGUAUCUAUAAGUGAGUAUCUAUAAGUCACGGUCUACUUGAAGGCACACUUUCUUCCCAUGUGGAUGUGUACAUUAUGAUCCUGGACAUGUUCUUGAACCUUCAGUGAUAACAGGAAAGUGUAAAUAAGAGCAAACCCGACUGAAAUGAACAACAAAGGGCCGGGCUGUGGCACA